GGGUCAGUAGGUUGGUCGUGCCACCGGUACGUACUGGUCUCACUGAUUCCUCCUUCCUGAAGAACCGUAAUGCCAUUAAUUUGGUGUUGCGGGGAAACAGGACUGUUACUUUGAAUAAAUUAGAGUGUUUAAAGCAAGCUAACGCUUGAAUACAUUAGCAUGGAAUAAUGGAAUAGGACGAUCGAUCCUAUUUUGUUGGUUUCUAGGAUUGACGUA
rnacentral:rRNA from 1 species